GACGAACGCUGGCGGCGUGCCUAAUACAUGCAAGUCGAACGCAGUGGGGACGGGUGAGUAACACGUGGGUAACCUCCCCUCAGAGGGGAUAACACUUGGAAACAGGUGCUAAACAGAUACUGCUGGAUGGACCCGCGGUGCAUUAGCUAGUUGGUGAGGUAACGGCGCACCAAGGCCACGAUGCAUAGCCGAACUGAGAGGGUGAUCGGCAACACUGGGAGUGAGACACGGCCCAGAAUCCUACGGGAGGCAGCAGGAGGGAAUCUUCGGCAAUGGACGAAAGGCUGACCGAGCAACGCCGCGUGAGUGAAGAAGGUUUUCGGAUCGUAAAACUCUGUUGUUAGAGAAGCGUUAUCUAACCAGAAAGCCACGGCUAACUACGUGCCAGCAGCCGCGGUAAUAC
rnacentral:rRNA from 1 species